GAUGAACGCUGGCGGCGUGCCUAAUACAUGCAAGUCGAGCGAACAGACGAGGAGCUUGCUCCUCUGACGUUAGCGGCGGACGGGUGAGUAACACGUGGAUCACCUACCUCUAAGACGGGGAUAACUUCGGGAAACAGGUGCUACUACCGGCUAAUAUAUUGAACCGCAUGGUUCAAUAGUGAAAGACGGUUUUGCUGUCACUUAUAGAUGGAUCCGCGCCGCAUUAGCUAGUUGGUAAGGUAACGGCUUACCAAGGCUACGAUGCGUAGCCGACCUGAGAGGGUGAUCAGCCACACUGGAACUGAGACACGGUCCAGACUCCUACGGGAGGCAGCAGUAGGGAAUCUUCCGCAAUGGGCGAAAGCCUGACGGAGCAACGCCGCGUGAGUGAUGAAGGUCUUCGGAUCGUAAAACUCUGUUGUUAGGGAAGAACAAAAGUGUAAGUAACUAUGCACGUCUUGACGGUACCUAAUCAGAAAGCCACGGCUAACUACGUG
rnacentral:rRNA from 1 species